AUGCCCAAGCGCACCAUGGGAGGGAGGGCCGACGCCGGGCCGAUGCCAUGGCGCACGAAGCAUCCAAGCGCCGGGCGAAGCUGCACAUGGAGAAACCCCUCCCCGCCGGCGAGGGGUCUAGCCGGCAGCAGGGCGGCCUUGACGUCGUCGACCACGUCCAGGCUCCGGUGCAGGUGUCACCUACGCCGGAGCAGGUGGCUCCUUCGCCGGAGCAGGUGA
rnacentral:rRNA from 1 species